rnacentral:rRNA from 1 species
GACGAACGCUGGCGGCGUGCUUAACACAUGCAAGUCGAACGAUGAACUUGGAGCUUGCUCUGGGGGAUUAGUGGCGAACGGGUGAGUAACACGUGAGUAACCUGCCCUGGACUCUGGAAUAACUUCGAGAAAUCGGAGCUAAUACCGGAUAGGACCUUGCACCGCAUGGUGUGGGGUGGAAAGUUUUUCGGUUUGGGAUGGAGUCGCGGCCUAUCAGCUUGUUGGUGAGGUAAUGGCUCACCAAGGCGGCGACGGGUAGCCGGCCUGAGAGGGUGACCGGGCACAAUGGGGCUGAAAAACGGCGCGGACUCCUACGGGAGGCAGCAGGGGGGAAUAUUGCAGGAUGGGGGCAAGCCUGAUGCAGCAACGCAGCGUGCGGGAUGACGGCCUUAGGGUUGUAAGCCGCUUUAAUAGGGAAGAAGGCUUCGGGUGACGGUACCUGCAGAAAAAGGACCGGAUAACUACGUGCCAGCCGCCGCCGUAACAC